GUGGGGAAUCUUGCGCAAUGGGCGAAAGCCUGACGCAGCCAUGCCGCGUGAAUGAUGAAGGUCUUAGGAUUGUAAAAUUCUUUCACCGGGGACGAUAAUGACGGUACCCGGAGAAGAAGCUCCGGCUAACUUCGUGCCAGCAGCCGCGGUAAUACGAAGGGGGCUAGCGUUGCUCGGAAUUACUGGGCGUAAAGGGCGCGUAGGCGGACAGCUUAGUCAGAGGUGAAAGCCCAGGGCUCAACCUUGGAAUUGCCUUUGAUACUGGCUGUCUUGAGUACGGGAGAGGUGAGUGGAACUCCGAGUGUAGAGGUGAAAUUCGUAGAUAUUCGGAAGAACACCAGUGGCGAAGGCGACUCACUGGCCCGUUACUGACGCUGAGGCGCGAAAGCGUGGGGAGCAAACAGGAUUAGAAACCCUGGUAGUCC
rnacentral:rRNA from 1 species